UCUGACAGGGGGUCAGAGAUUCCAAGCAGCAGCGAGAUUUGUUUUGUGCACAAAUCUCGUCGUUAAGCAGUUGUACACGGAUGUACAACUGCUUAACAGUC
rnacentral:sRNA from 1 species